AUAUAUAUUAUUCAAAUAUGGGCUAGUUGUAUGAAAUAUGGAUCUUAUGGCCUUUAGGUUUGGUUAAGAUCUCAAAAGCUAAAGAGUGAUAGUGGGCUAUUGUUCAAUACUUCUAUUUUCAUCUAGAAAAUCUUAUUUAGGCGAGAUGGAUACCCGAUUGGAUAACCUGAUACUCAAUCGGGUAGGGUAUGGGUAAAGAAAUUGUUGAUCCGUCGGAUCACUGGUUGGGUUUGGGUCAAAAUAC
rnacentral:lncRNA from 1 species